UAAAAAUCGAAAUAUGGGAAA
ensembl:piRNA 21ur-1865 ncRNA